rnacentral:rRNA from 1 species
UGCCAGCAGCCGCGGUAAUACGGGAGUGGCAAGCGUUAUCCGGAAUUAUUGGGUUUAAAGGGUCCGCAGGCUGUUUGUUAAGUCAGGGGUGAAAUCCUACCGCUCAACGGUAGAACUGCCUUUGAUACUGGCAAACUUGAGUUAUUGUGAAGUGGUUAGAAUGUGUAGUGUAGCGGUGAAAUGCAUAGAUAUUACACAGAAUACCAAUUGCGAAGGCAGAUUACUAACAAUUAACUGACGCUGAGGAACGAAAGCAUGGGUAGCGAAGAGGAUUAGAUA